CCUUCGAUAGCUCAGUUGAUAGAGCAGAGGACUGUAGAUCCUUAGGUCGCUGGUUCGACUCUGGCUCGAAGGA
rnacentral:tRNA from 1 species